rnacentral:rRNA from 1 species
AUUGAACGCUGGCGGCAGGCCUAACACAUGCAAGUCGAGCGAGCGGCGGACGGGUGAGUAAUGUAUGGGGACUGCCCGAUAGAGGGGGAUAACUACUGGAAACGGUAGCUAAUACCGCAUACCAUCGGAUAACCCAUUUAGGAUUAGCUAGUAGGUGAGGUAAUGGCUCACCUAGGCGACGAUCCCUAGCUGGUCUGAGAGGAUGAUCAGCGACACUGGGACUGAGACACGGCCCAGCCUCCUACGGAGGCAGCAGUGAGGAAUAUUGCGCGAUGGGCGCAAGCCUGAUGCAGCCAUGCCGCGUGUAUGAAGAAGGCCCUAGGGUUAUAAAGUACUUUCAGUCGGGAGGCGUUGCCGACAGAAAAAGCGCCGGCUAACUCCGUGCCAACAGCCGCGGUAAUAC